AUUGAACGCUGGCGGCAUGCCUUACACAUGCAAGUCGAACGGCAGCACGGGUGCUUGCACCUGGUGGCGAGUGGCGAACGGGUGAGUAAUACAUCGGAACGUACCUUAUCGUGGUGGAUAACGCAGCGAAAGCUGUGCUAAUACCGCAUACGCCCUGAGGGGGAAAGCGGGGGAUCGAAAGACCUCGCGCGAUUAGAGCGGCCGAUGCCUGAUUAGCUUGUUGGUGGGGUAAAAGCCCACCAAGGCGACGAUCAGUAGCUGGUCUGAGAGGACGAUCAGCCACACUGGGACUGAGACACGGCCCAGACUCCUACGGGAGGAAGCAGUGGGGAAUUUUGGACAAUGGGGGCAACCCUGAUCCAGCAAUGCCGCGUGAGUGAAGAAGGCCUUCGGGUUGUAAAGCUCUUUUGUCAGGGAAGAAACACCGGCUCUAACACAGUCCGGGAAUGACGGUACCUGAAGAAUAAGCACCGGCUAACUACGUGCCAGCAGCCGCCGUAA
rnacentral:rRNA from 1 species